CACUUGGAGAUGUUUACGUCUCCAAAGAGCCCUCACGCCUCUAACCAAAUGAGACGGGAAGGCGGAGCCAGACGUUGUCACGUGGCUGCUCCCGCCCAUCGGGUAAGCGGACCGCACUACUUCGCCAGUUGGCGUCGGCGGAGGAAUACGAAACGAAAUAGCUCGCCGGAAGUUCCGUACUAAUGCCCCCGGGAGACCGACCUGGACUGCUGGGUGUGACCCGAUAUGUCAAACCCACCCACCUGAGAAUCCCUUAGCGGGAUAUUGCCCGCGGCGAAGGGUAUCUAGAGCCCACAAACCGCCGCCUCGGCCCGUGCUGAGAAAGGAAGUCUUCCUGUGAUGACCAAUCAGCAGCGAGAAGCCGUUCUAAAGUCCCACCCUCUUUCUCCCCCAGCCCUUUCAUUUCGUUCCCCCACCUCGCCGGUGCGUCUGCGCUGUUCGGCCCUUCCAGGACGCCGUCCAUCGCGCGCCCAGUUGGGAGUCUAGCGGCAACCUGCCUCCGUGACAUGGCCGGCUCAGAGGCUGAGUGGAUAACCGUUGCCAAUAACCUUCUUUUGAAAUGUCACAUACACCUGAGGAUACGAGAACUGGAAGACUGUGAUGCUAAUGUUUUUAUUGCGCUUUAUCAAUCCAUUUUGGGAGAAAAGGUACCAGACCUCAUAGCUAUUCCCAGGAGUCAAGAGGAUGAAGCUCACAAUGUACAAGCAGUAAUUGAUUCGCUGGCCUUGGAUUACCUGCAAGUCAGCUUGUCUCACAUAACAGGAGAAAAUAUAGUGAAGGGAGAUAAAGAAUCUAUUAAGAAUCUGCUAGAAAUCUUUGAUGGGUUGCUGGAGUAUCUUACAGAACACAUCAGUGAGACAUCUCACGAAAAAAGUGAAACUGGACAGAGUUUUAAAGAAUUCCAUCAAGGAGAACCUUUAGAAGAGCCAGAAAGUACUAAGGAAUCCAAAUCAUCAUGGAAAAAGGUUUCUUUUGGGAGGUGCUCCUUGUCAUCUGAGGCUUUGGGCCCCUCUUGGGAUGGAGAUGAAACAGAAUCCACUGGUGAAGUAAUUAGACUCGGAGACACAGCACACACCUUUUCUCUAAGAAGUAAUGGUACCGAAGGCCCUAACCAAAUGCAGUCCAAAAAAGCCCCAACUCUAUUACAUGAAGAAGUGCUACACCCUCCCUCAUCUAGUUUUUUGUCCAAGAGUAGGACAUCCUUUGUUGAAGACAUGGAAAUUCCUUCUGUGGAUGUGAUUCCAAGUGCUAGGAAACUAGGGGAGCCUAUUCAAUCAGCUAUUCCUUUACAUCCACCCUACCACCCUUCAGAGCCUCGAGCACCCUGUCCCAUAGGAAAAGAAUACUUGCGCUCAAGUCACAUCUCCCCUGCUGUGAAUUCUACUGGAGAGGGCACUGCAUUUUCUGUGGAAUCAGAUAAUAGAGUUCUCUUAACUUCUAAGUUGCCUAAAGAUAGCAAACAGGAAAUGGUUUCAGCUCAGAUCCAAAGCCCUAGGACAAGGAAACUUCCCACAGGAAAAAGAUAUGAAGGUAGACCUACAGUCUCAUCCUGGGAUUCACCCUUCUCCCAGAGGGCAAGGAAGAGGUUAACAGAACAAGAAAUACACGCAGUUUCCGAGAAACUCUCUCAACGGCUCUCUGAACUAGAUUGGAUGUUAAAAAGUGCCCUGGGUGAUCGAAUUAAAGAAAAGACUGGCUACGAAGAUGAUAUUGGAAAUGAAGAGAUGGAGAGUGGAAAUGAUGAGACACUGUCUCAACACAGUGACAGCAUCAUGGAGUAUGGGCCGAAGAAGCGAAGGCCAGGAGUUCCUAUGCAUAGAAGGCCACCCUACAGAUCUCAUUCGCUCUCUCCAUCUCCAGUUAACAAAAACACACAGUUCCAUAUGGAGAGAAAACGGCAGCGAAAGCCUAAAGAGGCAGAUAUCCACCAAUUCCAAGCAAAGGCAAUAACGGAAGCAUUUGAAAGGGAGCUAAGAAGAAAUAAAGUUCAAGAGAAUAUUGGAUCUCUAGGAAUAAAUAACGAUGAGGAAACAGAAAAAAUAUACAGAGAAGCUGUUCAUAAAGGAACUCCAACAAAACGUAGUCAGCCCUGGAAGACUUACUCUAGAAAGACCACAACUCCAAGUCCAAGAGGUGGCUGGCCAAAGCCAAAUAAAGCAGUUCCAAUGAAAGUGAAUGAACACAGCCUCUUGCCCCUCAUGCUGGAGCAGUUUCCAUUUCUCUAUGUUUCUGGUGAAACACUAAGCAAAAUGUGGAAACAGCAAAUUACACAGGUUGAACAGCUCAGAAAAGAUGCAUGUAGAGAAAAUCGAUCAAAGAAGAAACUCCAGGAUGAAAUAGAAGAAGCCUUAAAAAAGCAUGACCUCCUUACUGUACUUGUCAAGAAAGAAUAUGAACAUAACAAGAGACUGCAAGACUUCAAGGACCGCAUUCAUAGGCAGAGGUUGACACAGUCGAAGAUAAAGGAAAAUCGGCAGCAGAUUGUCCGUGCCCGAAAAUACUACGAUGAGUACAGAGUUCAGUUGCGUGCAAAAAUGAUGAGAAUGAGGACCCGGGAAGAAAUGAUAUUUAAGAAGUUGUUUGAAGAAGGUUUACAAAUUCAAAAGCAAAGAUUACGAGACCUAAGAAACUAUGCCAAAGAAAAGCGAGCUGAACAAAAGAGACAGCACCAGAAUGAACUGGACUCCAUGGAGAACUACUAUAAAGACCAGUUUUCAUUGCUGGCAGAAGCCAUAUCACAAGAACGCCAGGAACUCAAAGCCAGAGAGAGAUCCCAGGCACAGACACUAUAUAAGGUGAAGAGGGAGCUGAGGUCGAAGAUGGAGAAGGAGAUUCAACAACUUCAGUGCAUGAUCACCCAGGAUGACGACGAUGCUUUCUUCCGGGAACUGGAAGCUGAGCGCUUCAGAUCGCGCCUUCAUCUGGCUUCUUUUCAGUACAGUAAAAAUCCCUUCCCGUGAGACCAGAUUUUGUAAGUGAAGUUUCUGGAGGACGUUACCAGGACAGAGCUAGAACUGAGCCGGGGACGGCGUGAGAAGAGGCGGAGUGUGGAAAGCCAGAAGGCGUGUGCCUCGAAGGAGCCCUCGUGCCUGCAGGUAGGGAGGAGGCGCAGUGGACUGGAAGUAGGCAAGUGCACGCCAAGCCUAUUUCUGGUGUGGAGGAGGAGAAAACCCCACACCCAGCAGGAAGCCACCACGCCUUCCGUGGGGAGGAAGGCUCCAGAGCAGUUGAAGACAGGGGGACUUUGCUGAUCAGAGCCAGAGAAUGGCACCGGACCCCAGGAAAGGACUGAAGGGGAGAAGAGAGGCUCCGGUUAGGGAACGUAGAGAGUAGCAAUGGCGAUGAACCACAACAGAGGCCCUGGGAGCAUGAUCGUGGGAUCCGCUGGUCUUGCAGACAGACAUCCAGACAGCUGUGAUCUACCAGGACAAGGGAAUGAGUGCAGGUGAAUGGAAAGGAUCAGGGACGUGCACAAGACAAGGCUAGGUCUGUAAGGGCUACAACGUGAAUUCUAAAAAUGGCUAUGAAGAGAAAAAAUGAAAGUAGAUCUGUUAUCCACGAUAUAUUUGAGUAAAAUGAGCAAAUGAAACUAUACACCGUGAUACUGUUUUACCUUAAAAGCUGUGGUAUGGGUGGAUCUCCCAUAUAAUGGAGUAUGUAGUUGACCUUCGGACAACGUGGAGAUCACAGGUGCCAAGGCCCCGUGCAGUCAAAAAUCCGUGUAUAACUUCUGACUCCCCAAAAA